rnacentral:rRNA from 1 species
UACUAUUAGCGGUUUCUCAUUUUACACAUGCAAGUCUCAGCACCCCAGUGAGAUAGCCCUUUUAACCUACACCAGGAAAAGGAGCUGGCAUCAGGCACAAUCCCUGCCCAUAACACCUAGUCUCACCACACCCCCAAGGGUAAUCAGCAUUGAUAAAUCUUAAAUAUAAUCGACAUCUUGAUUUAUUUAGAGAAAAGAGGGCCGGCUAACCCGGUGCCAGCCGCCGCGGCUACACCGGGGGGCCCGAGCUGAUAGUCACCGGCGUUAAGCGUGAUUAAAGCCCUCAACAAUUAGGGUUAAAUUAAUAUUUAGUAGUGAUAAGCUUGUUAUUAAGAAAACCAUAAACGAAAGUUACCCUAAUUACACUUGAAUCCACGACAACUGGGAAAACAAACUGGGAUUAGAUACCCCACUA